rnacentral:tRNA from 1 species
GCCAGUGCAACUUCUGCUUUGUUGACUGAUUUGUAAUCAGUAGGUCCGCGGUUCGAGUCCGUGUUGGGGCACCA